GAAGGUAGUGCCAAUAAUAAGAACGCUUCGGAUUGAUAGGGAUGCAACUAGUAGCUGAAAACACAAAGAGUUCUCCUUGUAUUUUUCACAGUUCUCCUAUUGAAGUAGUGCUUGUAUUUUUCGAAGUUCUCCUUGUAUUUUCAGGUAGUUGCAUCCCUAUCAAUCCGAAGCUUUCCGUUUUAGGGUAAUUUUCU